UCUUCCUCCCUAUAUUUAUAUAUCAUAUUUGUGUAUAAUUGCAUGCGAGAGGCACACAUUUCUUAUACUUUAUUUGAUUUAAUGUUGAAAGAACACACUCAGCAUGAUUUUUUGAAACAUUAAUUCCGUGAUUAAGAAUGUUCAUAUAUAUGACAAUCAUAUAAGCUGGUAUAAGAGGUUGUUAUGGAGAAAUACCCCAUGUUUACCCAAAAUGAAUAUCAAAGAAAAAAAUCUGUAGUUUCAUCUUGUAUCACAUUAUGUUGCAUAAAUGAAUCUUAAAAGAAUAUGCUCCCUACUGCUCUCAUAUUUGAUUUAUUUGGCUGAAUUGUUUGCGUGCUAGGGUGCCAAGUUGAGCAAUACCAAUUUGAAGGAUGCAAACCUUCAACGAGCUUAUUUACGGCAAGUGAAUCUUCGAGAUACGCAUUUGGAAGGUGCAAAGCUUUUCGGUGCCAAUUUAAACGGAGCAAUGAGAUGACACUGAGUGUUGCUAUUGUAGAUCCUGUGGAGGUUUGUAAUUCUGUUUGUGUAUAACCCGUCUGCCAAGAUUCCCAUUGUCCAAUUUCUGGGUUGAGGCAACCACCCUAGUAAUCAAAUGAUGUGGUUUGUACAUAAAUCUUAUACCCAAAUUCAAUUCAUUUGGUGAUAAAUGUCUAGUAGUUGAUAAAGAUGAAAGGGUAAAUUAUGACAACGGUCACUGAAUCUGUACCCGAUCUUCACUUUCGUCCUACAAUACAGUUCUUGGAAUUUAACUGUGGUCCUCGUACUUUUACGUGUGCA